ensembl:lncRNA
GGCUGAUAGGGCCGGAGCCGGAGGCGGUUGGCGCGGGGCGCCCUAAGAGCCUUGCGCUUCGCCUCCCUUUCGCUCUGCCCUGCAGGUCGGGCCAACGGGCCGCACCUCUCGUCGCGGGGCGUGCUGUACUUGAGCCGCACGACCCGCGACCGGACUCCAGCCUGCUGACGCCGGCCCGCCCCCCCGAACACCGCCAACACCAGACCAGCAAGCGCCUGGCCGGGCCCGGGGGCCCGAGGGCCCGAGGGGCUUCCAGGAGCCCCCAUUGACCGGGAGGGCGUGCGUGCGUGCGUGCGCGCGGGGCCUGGCGGCUGGGCUGAGGGGUGCGGAGGUCUCGGCGCCCUCCCACCCGCGGCCACUCCAGACCCGGCCGCGCUCGCUGAGCGGGGCCUCCCCCGAUCCCAUUCGCUGCUCAGGCCCGCGCGGCCCCGGAGGUGUCGGUCUUCGGCGCCCGCCGCCUCCCAACCCCCGCGGCCCAGGGGCCUCUGAACCUCCUGCGGGCCUAGACGCAGCGAAACUUGAGCGCCCAACUUGCCCGGCACCUGUCCGGUGCCCAAACCCAGCAGAAGCCAGGGAGGCGCGGUCGACCGGAGCGCCUCAGCCCCUCCCCUUCGCACUACCGAGGCCCCCCCUUUGACCCCACGCCAAGCCCUCGACCUUCCUGAGAGAGCAGACGAGCCACAGGCAGGCACACAGACAGACACACAGACACUCGCACGCACCCACGCCAAGGGAGACAGCUGGCCUGCGCAAGCUCCUCAGCCAGAGCCAGAGCGCCUGGGAGAGGCGGGGCCAGACGAACGGGCCGGCGGCUGGCUGUCAGGAGAUACAGAGGCAGAAAUACAUGAAGAUUCCGAGACAGACUCCAAGACGGCAAGAGGAGAUACACACACACACACACACACACACACACACACACACACUUGAGUGUGGUCUUUGGAAAUACUUGUGUUCGUAGUUGCUGGGUUGAGCCCAACUUUAAUACAACCCAUGGACUGCGGCCCAUCAGGCUCCUCUGUCCGUGGCAUUUCCCAGGCGAGGAUACUGGAGUGGGUUGCCAUUUCCUUCUCCGGCGGGAUCUUCCCGACCCAGGGAUCAAACCCCAGUCUCCUGCGCGCGGAUGCCUUGCCAUCUGAACCAGGACAUUGCUAAUUCCCUAGGCAAAAUACAAAGAAUAGAGCUCGUGUUCUACUAAAUGGAAAGAUGAUUUCAAAAACAGAAGCUGUCCUUUGUUGGUAUCUUUGAAUCUUUAUGUAGUUUUCGUUGAUUUUUACUGUUAAGGCUAACUGAACAAGGCAAGAGAGAAACCCCAGAAUUGAAAAGCAAUUGACGGUUUUGAAAGAAACAUGUGCAGGUGAAGCUCUCUUCCUUUUUGAGAGAUGCUUAAAUGCAAAAUCUUGAUUCAACACAUAUGACUUUUGUGCACUUUCUUUCAAAUCUCCAUGACAAAACCCUAAGGCGUCCAGGAAGAAAGGAGUAGAGGGGCAGACAAAAAGAGCAACCUUUCCCCUUGGUGCCAUCGCAACCAGCUGCUUAGUUCCUUCAUCUCAAGGAC